rnacentral:misc_RNA from 1 species
GAUGAAGAACGUAGCGAAAUGCGAUAAGUAAUGUGAAUUGCAGAAUUCAGUGAAUCAUCGAAUCUUUGAACGCACAUUGCGCCCGCCAGUAUUCUGGUGGGCAUGCCUGUCCGAGCGUCAUUUCAACCCUCGAACCCCUCCGGGGGGUCGGCGUUGGGGAUCGGCCCCUCACCGGGCCGCCCCCGAAAUCCAGUGGCGGUCUCGCCGCAGCCUCUCCUGCGCAGUAGUUUGCACACUCGCACCGGGAGCGCGGCGCGGCCACAGCCGUAAAACACCCCAAACUCUGAAAUGUUGACCUCGGAUCAGGUAGGAAUACCCGCUGAACUUAAGCAUAUCAAUAAGCGGAGGA